AGGUAAUAGUUUUCAAGGUUUUCAUUGACAGUUGGUAUGUUUUUAAGCUUGUUAUAGGACAGAUCCAGCUCAACCAGGGAUGACACAUUGAAAGAAUUUCCAGGUAUUCGAGUGAUUUAAGACCUUUAAAAGCAGCUGAAACAGCAUCCUCUUUCAGCCGAUUGUGCUGGAGAUGGAUGAAGGUCAGGUUUACCAAUCCUUCA
rnacentral:lncRNA from 1 species